AUUGAACGCUGGCGACAGGCCUAACACAUGCAAGUCGAACGAGUGGCGGACGGGUGAGUAAUGUCUGGGAAACUGCCUGAUGGAGGGGGAUAACUACUGGAAACGGUAGCUAAUACCGCAUACCAUCGGAUGUGCCCAGAUGGGUUUAGCUAGUAGGUGGGGUAACGGUUCACCUAGGCGACGAUCCCUAGCCGGUCUGAGAGGAUGACCGGCCACACGGGAACGGAUACACGGUCCAGACCCCUACGGGAGGCAGCAGUGGGGAAUAUUGCACAAUGGGCGAAAGCCUGAUGCAGCCAUGCCGCGGGUAUGAAGAAGGCCUUCGGGUUGUAAAGUACUUUCAGCGGGGAGGCGUUACCCGCAGAAGAAGCACCGGCUAACUCCGUGCCAGCAGCCGCGGUAAUAC
rnacentral:rRNA from 1 species